rnacentral:tRNA from 3 species
GCCGAAGUGGCGGAAUGGCAGACGCGCGCGACUCAAAAUCGCGUUCCGCGAGGAGUGUGGGUUCGAGUCCCACCUUCGGUA